GAUCAUGGCUCAGGAUGAACGCUAGCUACAGGCUUAACACAUGCAAGUCGAGGGGCAGCAUGUUGGUUGCUUGCAACCGAUGAUGGCGACCGGCGCACGGGUGAGUAACGCGUAUCCAACCUACCCUUGUCCAUCGGAUAACCCGUCCGAAAGGACGGGCCGUAACACGAUAUGCGGUUCGACCGCCAGGCGAUCUAACGUAGAACGAAANAUGAGGAGGAAGGAAGUAGGGGAGGUAGGCGGUCCGUU
rnacentral:rRNA from 1 species